AAACAAUUGAGACUAUGAUUACAGCAUCCUUUUUCAUAGUUCUAAAAUUGUUUAGACACACCUGUGAGCUAUCUAAAAGAGGUGUAUGAUUUUGAUAAAGUUUUAUCAAAACAAUAUAGUAUCAGAAAUCUGAACUUUGGUAAGAAAGUCAAUGAAGUAUUGAUUUCUAGAAGUCCAGCUGAUUUCUGAGUACAUGUCAAAGCUAGUGGGAGCAUAAGUGUUAUGCUAAUAAUCAUCAUGUUAGUGGGAGCAUGAUAAUUAUGAUAAGUAUUGCAAGUUAGCAAUGUUAAUUAUAGAAAACAAAAGUUUCAAUUGGGAAAGAGUUGUUUUGCUAUAAUUAAGGGAGAGGAAAUUAUACUUCAUCUCAAAUCUAUAAGCUUAGAUCGUGAGGUUUUAAUCAUUUAGUCAAGGAUAUAUAUGAAUUUCAUGUUGGAAUGGCUCAACAUAAGGAAAUUCUGUAUAUGGGUCCAUUAUUUGCGUUCUAAAAUUCGAUUAUGAUUACGGCAUCCCUUUUCAUAAUCUGAAUUAUGAGAACUUGGCAAAUUGAAAUGGAAAUAUUAUAGCAAAAGACUGGUUUAGUCUUUAUGUGAGACAUCAUGAAUCGUGUCCCAUAUGCUUCGGAUAUAGGAUCGAUUACAUGUGCUAUAUAUUCAUCCUUUCUAAAAUUUUCCAAAUGCAU
rnacentral:lncRNA from 1 species